AUUGAACGCUGGCGGCAGGCCUAACACAUGCAAGUCGAACGAGUGGCGGACGGGUGAGUAAUGUCUGGGAAACUGCCCGCUGGAGGGGGAUAACUACUGGAAACGGUAGCUAAUACCGCAUACCAUCGGAUGUGCCCAGAUGGGAUUAGCUUGUAGGUGAGGUAAAGGCUCACCUAGGCGACGAGCCCUAGCGGGUCUGAGAGGAUGACCAGGCACGCGGGAAUUGAGACACGGUCAAGACUGCGACGGGUGGCAGCAGUGGGGAAUAUUGAACAAUGGGCGAGAGCCUAGUGCAGUCGUGCCGCGUGUAUGAAGAUGGCCUUCGGGUUGUAAAGGACUUUCAGCGGGGAGGCGUUACCCGCAGAAGAUGCACCGGCUAACUCCGUGCCAGCAGCCGCGGUAAUUC
rnacentral:rRNA from 1 species